rnacentral:rRNA from 1 species
ACAGAGGUGCCAAGCGUUAGGCGGAAUCACUGGGCUUAAAGCGUGUGUAGGCGGAUCGUUAAGUACCUUGUGAAAUCCCCCGGCUCAACCGGGGAACUGCUGGGUAUACUGGCGAUCUUGGGCCACUCAGGGGCAGAUGGAACAGACGGUGGAGCGGUGAAAUGCGUAGAUAUCGUCUGGAACGCCAAAGGUGAAAACAGUCUGCUGGGGGUGUGCCGACGCUGAGACACGAAAGCCAGGGGAGCGAACGGGA